rnacentral:lncRNA from 1 species
GAAUAUGUUGAUUAUCGGAGAGUUGGAUGCUUUGAAAUGGUUUCACCAAGGUGUUUUUUUUCCUUCACAGAGCGCUUUGCUAUGGGGAGAAACGAGCCCAGCAAGGCUGAGGAAAAGAUUGGAUAUCCAUAUCCGUUGGAGGCUCCAAGCAAACACACUCAGAGGGUGACGAGAGCUCAGCAGACCCCAGGAUUGGCAAGUCCUCAAGCCCUCUGCUCUCCUUUACGGAGAAAGAACAUCUGCGGAGAAUUGUGGGGAGUCAGAGAGAUGAGGGGCAGGGAAUGUAUCCACCAACUCUGUUUUCUCUACACCUGGUCACCAAAGCUGUAUGGCUACCAAUGGAGAUGAACUAGAAACUGAUGAAUCGUAAAAGUUUAUUAUUUUUGCUUAUUACAGAAAUGUAAUAUCGAUCCUAAUAAAUCCUUAGAGAUGAUUAUUUUUACCUAAUGCAGAAAUUUUGAAUCAAUUUUAAUAAAAUCUUUAAAGAUUUUUUUUUUACAUAUUAGAGAAAUGUGACCUCAAUGAAG